rnacentral:rRNA from 1 species
UACGUAGGGUGCUAGAGUUGUCCGGAUUUACUGGGUGUAAAGGGUGCUCAGGUGGAUUUGUAAGUCAGAGGUGAAAUCCCAAAGCUUAACUUUGGUGCUGCCUUUGAUACUGCAAGUCUAGAGUUUGAGAGAGGGCAAUGGAAUAUCUGGUGUAGCAGUGAAAUGCGUAGAUAUCAGGAGGAACACCAAUUGCGAAGGCAGCUCGCUGGGACGUAACUGACGCUGAGACGCGAAAGCGUGGGGAGCAAACAGG